rnacentral:rRNA from 1 species
CAGCACCUCAAGUGGUCAGGAUGAUUAUUGGGCCUACAGCAUCCGUAGCCGGCUCUGUAAGUUUUCGGUUAAAUCUGUACGCUCAACGUACAGGCUGCCGGGAAUACUGCAGAGCUAGGGAGUGGGAGAGGUAGACGGUACUCGGUAGGAAGGGGUAAAAUCCUUUGAUCUAUUGAUGACCACCUGUGGCGAAGGCGGUCUACCAGAACACGUCCGACGGUGAGGGAUGAAAGCUGGGGGAGCAAACCGGAUUAGAUACCCGAGUAGUCC